rnacentral:rRNA from 1 species
UACGAAGGGUGCAAGCGUUAUUCGGAAUUACUGGGCGUAAAGGGUGCGUAGGCGGUUCGUUAAGUCUGUCGUGAAAUCCCCGGGCUCAACCUGGGAAUGGCGAUGGAUACUGGCGAGCUAGAGUGUGUCAGAGGAUGGUGGAAUUCCCGGUGUAGCGGUGAAAUGCGUAGAGAUCGGGAGGAACAUCAGUGGCGAAGGCGACCAUCUGGGACAACACUGACGCUGAAGCACGAAAGCGUGGGGAGCAAACAGG